GAUGAACGCUGGCGGCGUGCUUAACACAUGCAAGUCGAACGGAAAGGCUCCUGCUUGCAGGGGUACUCGAGUGGCGAACGGGUGAGUAACACGUGGGUGAUCUGCCCUGCACUUCGGGAUAAGCCUGGGAAACUGGGUCUAAUACCGGAUAGGACGAUGGUUUGGAUGCCAUUGUGGAAAGUUUUUUCGGUGUGGGAUGAGCUCGCGGCCUAUCAGCUUGUUGGUGGGGUAAUGGCCUACCAAGGCGUCGACGGGUAGCCGGCCUGAGAGGGUGUACGGCCACAUUGGGAGUGAGAUACGGCCCAGACUCCUACGGGAGGCAGCAGUGGGGAAUAUUGCACAAUGGGCGCAAGCCUGAUGCAGCGACGCCGCGUGGGGGAUGACGGCCUUCGGGUUGUAAACUCCUUUCGCUAGGGACGAAGCGCAAGUGACGGUACCUGGAGAAGAAGCACCGGCUAACUACGUG
rnacentral:rRNA from 1 species